UUUCCUAUAGAAUGAGUUUAAGAAAGUGAAUUCAAACCAAUGGAACAUUGCUAAAAUUGUCAUGUUCACAGCAUGACUUUACAAAAGGAGCAAACAGCAUCAUUGAAUAACUGGAACUGCAACAAUACAGAACGCGUUUUUUUCAUUAGUUAUAUACUAAAACAAUUACACACUCAUCCUAAACUCAGCAUACCCUCAGUAUAUGUCAUAGGAAUAUCUCCAACGUCAUAGCACGAUCUUUGAAAUAUGCAACAAAAGGAUCAAGGAAAAGAAUUAUGAUAUGAUGAGGCGAGGCGAUGAGCUCCUUGAUAAUUUGUGAGUGGAUCAACCUCAGUCAUGGUGGAUGAUUAUGAUUCUUCAAAGGUUAUCCUUCUAAACUAAAUCAAGUCAGUGUAAAAACGUCAACAAACCCCAUGCUCUUUUUUAGCUCCUCCCUAUUUCCCAGGGUUUGAAUUAGUGAGACUGCUUCAAGAAGAAUGUUUGUAGCCACGUUGACGUCAUUUCUGGCUUGUACGAGUGCUUGUCUUGCUGAGUUUCUAUCAAACCCCAUCGAAACCAGUGUAGCAAUGGAGUUUUCAGAUGGCUCCAUAGUAGAAGUAAUAGGAGCGGCAGAGCAUAAUUUCCCUGAACCAUGUAAAAAUCAUUUAGUGUGACAUUAUACGGGAUAAUACGGAAUGAUGAAGUAUAGAGGGACUGGUGGGAUACGAAAUAGCAAUUGUCACUGCUGAAACCAUAUCAAAAUGUAUGUGAAUACAUGCAAGUCACAUCAUUUGGGAGCAUUAGAUGUAAUAUAUGAAUGCCUGAACUUUUAAAAUUUAUAAAGAGUAAGCAUUAUGAUUCUUCACAGAGUUCCAGCAAACCAAACACAAAAAGUAGUACCCAACAAGUAUGUGUCCAAAACAUAAGAAGGAAGUCAAUCCAGACAGAGUAUCACCUUGACAGGGUCAUUAGUGUUGCCAAUAGUUCAGGAGAGAAAACAAAGAUAGCAAUGAUGUAAUAAAUACUUGCAGGAACGAAAAAUAGAAUCGACAAAACAAAAGCAGUUAUUAACAAACUUGCCUCCACUUAACGACCUCUAUAAGAUGGUAUACUUCCAAUAACAUUCCCGCUAGAUGCUGAAGGUGGUGAGCCUCCCACAGUGGGCCAAGACAGCCGAGAAAAGAAUGAAGUGAGAAACUCUGGGAACUGUUGAAAAGUCACAUUGUCAUGGAAAAAGAACAAGAGAAUUAGCGAAUUAGCUGGUUGUAAAACAUGUAUGCAAUGCUGUAACAGCAAUCCAGAGAACAAACUAACAAUAUAUAUGUGCGCGCAUCAAAACUAAAAGAUAAGACAUUUUCUUUUAUACAAAGAACAUAAAUAUCUCAUAGUGCCACUUUCAUUCAUUUAUUCGUCAAGGCGUCGUGAGUUGAUAAAUGAUAAUUUUAUCCAUUUGUGACACAACAAGAAUUGUAAUCACGUAACUAAUUCACAAUUAACAUAGUUUCUGAAUCCUGCCACUAUUACAGAGGAUUGACUACAUUUCUCGAGGAAGUGAAUCUGCCAAAGAAGAAAACUGCCGGAGGGUGGAAGUAAAUGGUUCCUAAUGGGGAUCAAUCUGAUAAUUCAAAUUUUUAAAUCUUUCCCUUCUAUUAUAUUUUGAUAGUUGAAAAAGUACUAUUAGUUGAAUAGUCAGGAAUAUCUUGUGUGAGUAUUUUAAGAUCAAGAAGAUCUUCUGAAUGAAACCUGCAUUAUAAUUAGUCUAAAUGUUUUAAUAGUGACAAUGUCCUGCUAGCAAGAUGGUAGUAGAAUGUUCUGUAGUUCUUGGACGCCUACAACUAAAGGAGCUUACUUGUAUGAAACAUACAAAAGGUGACCAUGUUAGUGUGUAUCUUGUAACAGGAUGGGGAAACAAUGAUUGAUCCAUCUCUUUUGGAUGGCUCUUUGUUGAAUGUUGUUCCUUGUUCCUUGUUCUUGUUUAUCUAGUUGUUUUGCUUGUAUCUUAUACUGUCCUUUAGAAUAUAUGGUCUACAUAUUAAAUUUUAAAAUACACACAAAAGGUGAAAAAUAAAUCAGAAGCUAACCUUCAUCUUACGUAUGCCAAACAAAUUCAAUCGAUACCAGCAAGAACACCACAUACGCCUGGAAGAAUAGAUCUUUUCCAGGAUGAAAGAAGGAGCUGUGAGGUAAAAUGAAGUAAGCGCAGCAAUAGUUCAGAUGUCAUUUCAUAAUUCAAAUAGAAGAGGCGGAUGACUAAAAAAAUAUCACCAGCCAUUUCUAUGUGAUUUUAAUUGUGAAGGUUGGUGAUUUAGAUGCUUAAAAAAAUUGUUUUUGUCACCAGCUUUAGUAGAGUGAAGGCUGGUGAGUGAUAAUUAGAAAAACCGGUUGAAGUUUGUUUUCGGAUAUUUCUAUAAAUAUAGAAAUAGAAAUAGAGAAAAAAGAGAAAACCACUAUAGCGGUUGGAGAUGGUCUUAGUUACCCUACCCCCGACCUUUUGUUAUUAGUUCCACAUUUUACACAAAUAUCGGUGGAAAUGGUUUCAAGUUUCAAUCAACAGAUUGUGUAUGUAUAUGCAUAUCGAGCUACAUCGACACAAUGUAUUUACAUUGACGCAAUGUAAAUACAUUAUAUACAAAAAAUAAAUUUGAGAUGGAGAUGGUAGAAAAUAAGUAAAUAGACAGAUGAAUUUUACGUGGUUUGGCAAUGGUGCCUACAUCCACGGGAGAGAUGAGUGUUUUAUUAUUGAACAUGAAAUAUGUUCUUUUAUAUAGAUAUAUAGGGAAUUACAAUUGAUAUUGUAACGAAAAAUAACAGACAGAUAAUAGACAAAUAAUAAAGGAGAAUAUAUUUUGAUCUUGAUCUUGUAAUUGUUGGCAUUAACAUGCAUUACCACAUCAUAAACCCCACACGAGCUCAUAAGCGAUCAUCAAGUUGGGCCAAAUUGGAGUAUGAGUUGUACUGCAUGUCGGGGCGGGCUAAGUCAUUGGAAAUAAACUUGAGCUCGGAUGAGCUCGAUGAAAAUAAGCUUGACGUCGAUGUAGCUUGAUAUGUAUAUACAUACACACAAAUUACAGUAAAAAAAAAAAAUGUACAGGCCACUCUCCUACUUAUAUGUAGCAGUGGAAUUCCUGAUGAUGGUUAGCAACAAAAUGGCACGCUGAAAAAUCAUGUCGCAGACACCGAUUGCCAAGAGCCCCAGAUAGAUACUAAGAGCCGAGUGGAACUUUAAUGAAGUGUUUUUUUUAACGAAACAGCAAACAGAAACCAUCGUCUUCUCCCUCUUUCCGCCGCCAUUCUUCUUCCUCUUCCGCCAUUUUCAACUUCUAUCUCUUGAUUUUGCUACUUCUACUUCUUCCUACUCAAAAAUUACCCAACCAUUUAGCCAUUUUUGUUAUUUUCUAUAUUUAGCCCUCUUUUUAUUAGUUUUAACUCAAAAAUUUAAAUUUUUGGUAAAUCACAAAUUAUGGCUCCAAAAAGAAGAUUGUGCGGUAAAAUCGUUCAAAAGGUGUAUCAAGGAACUAGUAGUACUAUGGAAGAUCAAUCUUUAGAUAAUAUGGAAGUCGAAGUUGUCGACAUUGAUUUUCCACAUUUUCGCGAAGUUCGAGAUUAUACACCAAGAGAGCUCGCUCCAUGUACUGGAUCGCAUCUUAGUGAUAACCAGUAUUCCGUCGAUGUAAGUAUUUGAUUUAAUUUUUAAUUAAUAUUUCAUUAUUUUUUAAUUAAUUUAAUUAGUUUUUUAAUUAAUUUUUUAUUAGUUUUUUAAUUAAAUUUUUUUUAGUUUUUAAUUGGUAAAUUGUUCGUUUAAUGUAGAGGAUGAAAAAUUUGACAUAUAGAGGCAAAAUGAAUAACGUAAUGACUUGGUGGUCAUAUAUGGUGGAGAGAGGAAAUGAUUUUGCUCAUGUACGAGAUCGAAUACAAGCGACGCCAUUUGGGCCUCUCGUUUCUUUGACACCAUUUUGAACUGAUCGUCAACUUAUAUUCGCGUUGCUUGAGCGAUGGUGGCCGACGACACAUACAUUUCAUUUGCCUCUCGGUGAGCUUGCUUUUACUCCUCAUGAUUUUACUAUGCUUACGGGUUUGCGUGUCGGGGUGGGAGAGAUUGUGCCAUAUAUUUCAUCUUAUGAUAAUAAUGAGUGUGAGGCUACUAUAUUAUUCCCAACUCUAAGUGAAUAUGAGGAGGCUUGGAAGGAUGAUGACAAACAAACAGGUUUACAGUAUGGUUUUUUUGAGAAUAUACACAUGCUGCGUACUGUUGCUGAUGAUGAUUGGGUGUUAGAGCCCAAUUCAGUUGAAGAGGAUGAGUAUGUGUUAGCUUUUCUGUUAUACUUUGUGUCUGGGGUUUUGUUUUCUACUGGACACAGUUGUGUGAAGUUGGGUUGGUGUGGAGCGUUGCUUGAUACAAACAAGAUUGGAGACUACGAUUGGGGCGGUGCAGUGAUGGCACACAUGUAUUAUCAGAUGGAUUAUUUUUCUAUGAGUGGCAAGAAAUUACACAACAUCGGUGGGUUCAUUUGGAUUCUACAGGUUAGUUAUGGUUUUUAUAUUAUUUUUAAUUUUUAAUUAAUCUAAAGCAUAAAAGCAUGAAUGAUUUUUUUAUUUUUGUAUAUAAUUUUUUUAAUUACGAAAUUUUUAUUAUGUAGUUUUGGUGGUAUGAGUAUCUGGGCACGUGUAAUCCGAUUUUGUUAGACUGUAGACCACAAGUGUUCCUUCGUAUUCUUAUUUGGGCCCUUGAAAACCUAGCUGAAAUGAUGGGACUUGUAACGAAUAACUUUAAACAAGCAAGGGCCUCGAUCGAACAGAAAACUUGGGAUAGUAUUAGGUGGAUGCCUUGGGCUGGGUUACCAUCAAACAGUGUCCCACAUAUUGACAGCUCUAGAAUCAUAUCUCAGACGAGAGUGGUUUUAGUUUCUCCAGAGAUUAGUGUUUGGUUUUUAGGGGAUAGAUGUUUACGACAGACGACUGGUAUGAUAGCUAUUCCUCAUCCUCCACCACCUGAUAUGGCUCCAGUGAGUCUUCCUUUGGAGCAGAUCCGUGCUCGUAGAUCAUCAUUUAACUGGCCAAUUAGUUCAGCUUUUUGUAAGUUUGUUACGGCUAUGGAGUACCAGUUAUAUUGGAACACUGUUUCUCGGGGCACAUUAGCUAUUUCCCCCGUCUCUCGUGAGGGUAACGUAGAUUAUGUGUCAUGGCGAAACAUACGACCAGAGUAUCAGAUUCCUUUCCCAGCAGACCCUACUACUACUCAGCAAGAUUACCCUUUGAGACAAAUACAAUAUGGAGAACAUGCUGGUGAACAUAGCCUUAGGUUGAUGGGAUCACAAGGUAUGACAUGGACUGUACCGGUUCCCUUUCUCGACCGUGACUUAGUUACACAGCAUGUACCUGAUUUUGAUACCUUAGACGAGGUAUGUUUAUUUUUUUUAUUUACAAUUGUAUUUAUAAUUUUAUAUUUGUUAGUUAAAUCUUGUAUAUUUAUAACUAAGGGAACUCUUGUGAAUACAGGUUGCUCUCCAGUCACGCUUAGCAGAUGCUGUAAUGCUUGGUCAAGGGAUGCGGCAUGCAACAUUUGAUUCUUCUGCGAGAUAUUAUGGUUGGUUGCAAGAGCAAAGGACUGCCACAACAAGGGCUGAAGAAGAACUCGCAGCAAGUGCUUCUAGGGUUGCUGAGCUGACAAGCACAUUAGAGGCCUUGGUAAGUAAUUAUUAAUUACUAUUACAGUUAAACCCUAAAAUUUAUUAAUUUUAGUUAUUAAAUUUUAAUUGUAUUUAUAUUUGAUUAUAGGAGUUGCAAGGGCACACUAGACGCGGUGGACGGGGACGAGGUGGACGGGGCCGAAGUGGACGAGGCCGAAGUGGGGAGAGUAGUCAGGGGAGUGCACCUUGAGUGUUUGAUAUUGCUUGAUAUUAGGGUUGGUUUGAGUGUUUGUUAACUGUAUACUAUUGCUUGAUAUUAGGGUUGUUUCUGUUGAACCACCAUAAAAGAUAAAUUUAUGGUUAUUUCUUAAUGAUUUAUUUAUUAUUCGUUUAAAAUGGUAAUAAAAAUAUAUUAAUCAAAAUAUUAAUACAUUAAUCAAAUUAAAUUUAAAAUUCAAUACAUAAUUAAAUAAAACAUUUUAACCUUCGAUACAUUUUAAUUUUCAUACUCUUCACCACAAGUUGAAUAAAACAUUUUACCCAAUGCAUAAUCAAACUCAAACGAAUCAUGGUUACAAUUUUCGGGAAGCACAUGAAUUUCAUCUUCAUACUCGUCAAUAAGUCAAUUAAAUUCAUCAUCGAUACGCUUUUGUUCUUCGAGUGUUAAUGGUUUUUCUUCUUCGAUGAUUUCUUUCUCCAUUUCUUCACGUUUUUCAUCUUUCGGAUCUUCAAUGCGCGCCGAAAAGUGUUUGACAGAACCAUCUCCCAUAAUUAUAUAAAACAAAGUAUCAAACUCAAAUGAAAAAGAUGAAGAAUGAAGAAGUAAAAAUAAAAUAGAUAUCGAAACAAAGAACAUGUAUAUAUAGAUGUGAUUUAUAGCCGUUUGGAAAUUUAGCCGUUCGGAAAAUAUGGCCGUUCGGAGGUAGCCGUUGGAAAUUUAGAGUUCCACGCUGGUUAGACCUACGUGGAAUUAAAAAAAAAAAAAAAAAGUUUCACGCCGGUUUGACCAACGUGGAAUUAAAAAAAUAAUAAAAAAAAAGUUCCACGCUGGUUGAACCAGCGUGGAAGAUGUUAUUUUCCCCAUUCCUGUAAUCCUAUCUUUGGUUCGAUUUUGGACGAAGUUUUAGCAGACCGGCCCACCACAUCCUACGUGGAUAGCCGGCUGCUAAAAAUAUAGAAGACGCGUUAGGGUGCUGUUUUUUGCGGAAUUCCUAAAUUAUAGGUUUUAGGAGACCCAUUAGAGAUGCUCUAAGGGUUGAAGAUAACAACACCAUAUGUAUACACUAUUCAUUCACUAGGUCCUACAGAAUUUUAUAGGUAUUUGAGUUUUUUUUCACUGUUACCCUUAGAGAUGGUCUUAGUCAUGACGCGCUGAAUGAACCUGUAUUCUUAAACCCUACCACCUCGAGCAAGUUGUGCCACAAGAAGCUAAGGUACUGUUUGUUUUUACCUCUUAUAAGAGGUUGGAUUUACUAGAGCCUCUAUUAAGAGGUGGACCACUAAAAUGAAGUGUUUGUUUUUCACCUCUUAUAAGAGGUUACUAGAGGUUUGCCUCUUAUAAGAGGCUGAUUUUUUGUAGUGACAAUGACCUUGCUAUUAGCCUCUUAUAAGAGGUAGACAUUUUCAAAAUACCUAUCCUACUCAUGAUCUUUAUAACUUUUUCCUACCCCUAGUCCUUAAAUAUAAAAUACCUUAAAUCUUUUUUUUAAUUUCUCUCUCUUUCACAUAUUUUUCUAUCUCUCUUAUAUUUAUGGAAUUUUUUUUUCUUAAGUUAAAAAAUUAAUUUUUUUUAUACAUUUAUGGAAUUAAAAAAAUAUUUUUUUUAGAAGAGGAUAUAAUUGUAAAGUUUACCUCUUAUAAGAGGUUUUACAAACAAACACCUUACAUCUUAUAAGCUCUUGCAAGAGGAAAAAAAAACAAACGAUUUUCAUGUACCUCUUAUAAGAGGCAACCUCUUACAAGACAUACCUCUUAAAAGAGACAUCCUCUUAUAAGAGGGACCCAAACAGCCCUUAAAUGUGUGCUUCCUAUCCCUUCUUCUUGCUACUUGCUUUUGCCAAAUGGACCAAUAAAAUGAAAGAUACAGAUGUGGGGAUCUCCACCCACUAGUUUUCUUUCUCUUUCAAUACUUUUUAACAUUUAUUUCUUUAUUCUUGGUUUAAUCCAUCCCCACUGGUUUUUUCUUGCAAGUUGUAAGACCCUUCUCAGCCACAAACACAGAGUGCGAAUUUGUUCCACACUCUUUAAGAGUGCGGAACAAUACUCUCCCCAGAUCUUGCCACGUGGUUAUAUUAAAAAAUAAAAAUUUUGAUUUUUUUUUUUUUUUUUAAUAUUAAGUAAGAUUAAUUAAAAAAUUAAGACACUAAUAAGAUGGUGCUGUUAACCCUAGUGGGACCAACUAAAUAAAAAAAAAAAAAAAAAGUUGAAGUACGUGGCAAGAUCUGGUGGACAGUGUUGUUAAGAGUGUGGAACAAAUUCAAAUUCACAGACACAAUAACACUUUGUUUACAAACAAGUUUCAAGUUUCAAUACUCAAGAAAGAAAGAAAAACCUCUUUGCUUCUUCAAUACUCUUUUCUAGAGUCUCUCUUUACUUCUACUAUAGCUCUUCAAAACUGUUAACUCUGCUACAACAAAAUCUUCUUAUCACUUGUGAUUAUGUUGUUUUUGUCUUUUUUAUGUGGUUAUUGGAAUUGGAUUGAAAUAAGCAAUGGGUUUUCCUUAAAAUUUCAUUUUCUAUGGUGAUGUAAGAGAUUUUUGCAUUUUAAGAUGAUGGGUAUCUUUGAUUUUGACUAAUUUUGGUCAAGGAAUGUUAUAAAUUAGUCUUUGUAAAAAUCUGUUGGGUGUUUGUUAUGGAAAAUUGAUGAUUCAAGGGGGUAAGAACUGAACAGAUAAAAUAUUUUUGGAUUCAACAAGUUUCAAAGUUUUUAGCUGUAUGCAAUCAGCUCACAUGUUGAUGAAUUGAUAAGAAGUUAGGAUAAAAAUGUUUGGAAAUAGAUUACAGAUUUGCAGUCUUCUUUCAGAAGUCAUUUCUGUCAGAAAGUCAUGUAUUAAAAGUCAUCUGUUGAAAGGUUCCUAAAAUAAAUGCUGUCAAAGUUCUUGAUCUUUUUAUUUACAAGUUUGUAUGUUGAUCUUGCAUCCACCUUUCGGACCUAUGAUGUUUUAGAAUAAUUGUUUGAAGCCACCUAUCAAAGACUUCCUUUUAUUUCACGCCUUAACAUUCAACUUUUUAAUUGUAGAUUGAAUAAAUAAACUGAUCAUGUGAUGGCAACUUUCAGGCACAUGGCAUUGAAACAAACUCAUCCCUUGUGACAGAUGGUCAGGUAGAUGAGGAGACAUCAUUUGAACAAGUUGCAACACGGGAGCUCAAAUUGGCUAUGACACAGGUAAAAGAAUAGUGAUGACUUUAUGAUAGAAAUUGUGACAGUAUGGUUGAUUAUUAUAUCUGAUUAUUGACAGAUCAUUUUGCCUUUGAACAGUUGACAGAAGAAACUCGUAUUUGUUUUCGGGAUUCUUUGUACCGCCUUGCCAAGAGUUCUAGACAACGGCAAUUAGAAAGCCAAAGUGAAGAACUAACCAUUGAUGGGACUUUUUUAACGAACACUCAUGGAGAGACGGCAAGGUAAAUUUUGACUUGUAAUAGUCUUUUACUUAUUAAGAAAUAUAUCUAUUUAGUAGAUAUGAUGCUGGUACUGAUGACGUAUUAAGAGCACCACUUAUAAGCGGGUAAACCCCUCUAAGUAACCAACUGAUCCUAGGCCCCUUAUAUCUCCAUUCAGCAUGACACAUAGGACUGCCUUCGAAAGCAAAACACAACACCUUCAAGAACUCAAAAUCAGAUACAUGAUUGUUUUCUUACGUUUUAAAAUGGACAAGAACUAUUUAUACUGGUUGUAUUUACGGUUAUUUUUAACAAAAGUAUUGCUUCUAUCAUUGAAGUUAGCUUACAUUAUCUUAAAUGAACUUUAUCCUCAGGUUUGAGGAGAAAGUGGAGCAUAUGGAAUCAGAAACCAAUUAUUUUGAUAGCACUGUCGCUCACCUUAUGUUCAAUGAGCUGAACAGUACCCCAGAUCUGUACCAGUUAUCCGUGCAGAAAAGCCAUCAUAACAAUCAUGUUAUGUAGGCAGUAGGCUGUUCCUCAGUCCUUAAUAUUACCUAGUGAGAAGGAUGUUUCAAUCUUUGGUGGAUAACAGAGUAACAAUAGAUAUUACAAAGAAGGGGGAAGGUUGUCAACAAAAGAUUCAACAUCCUGAAUGGAACCCAAAUCAAAUUUCAAAAGCCAUGCAAACAAGAAAAUGGGUCCUUAUAUCGUCUCUGCAUUAGUAAUCCAAGUAAUAAAAUAUGUUCUCAGGAUCUGUUAACGACUUGAGUUUUACCAAGUACAAUUGACAGUCAAGUUUUGUAAUAUUAGUUAAGCUGGAUCAGCACCUACAACGCUGAAAUCUCUUCGUUUUUAUCGAGUAAGGAGGUAUGACAUCCAUGUAGAUAUUCCUAGCUCCCUACAGCAAUUUUCACUAGUAUCAGUUUUCCUGGAAAUCAUAUAUGUAAAACAACUUCCUUGUGCGAGUAAAGAGUGUGCUUUGUUCAGUCAAUUUUGUUGUCAAGUCAGUUUGAUUCUUCUUCUUUCUUUGCAAUAAGGACGAUACAAUUCAUCUGAGGCUAUUGUGCAGUUUAUUGCUUUCAUUGCUAAAAGAAAACAGCGUUGUAUAAUAGCUAGCAUUCCAGCUUUAUUGCCAACGUCUCCCACCGAUAGUCUUGCAUCUUAGCAAUAGUACUUCUCCUAUGUGCACUAUGUGCUCUGCCAUUCCUACCUACGUUAGGCUACGUACAGAGUUCCUUUUGGAUGACGAAAAGGAAGUACAUCCAUUUUACUAGCAGAAUUGAAUGCAUAAAAGAAUAAUUCUGCAUUUUACAUUCUGUCGUGAUGAGAAAGGGUUGGUUGUAGUAGGACCCUGUAUCUCAUGACUGGUAUGUAAUAUAUACGAGAUCGGCAAUUGUAAUUAAGUGCAUCCACAAUUAUAAAUUUCUAUACCAUUAAAUGAACAAGAAAUCACAUGAAAUCAAUAGAGAUGUAAUUGUUAUGAACCGAUAGUACAAUUUAUAUUGAUCUCAGAAAUAAACACAAUCUGGAACUAAAAUUAAAGAAAUUUAUUUAUUGAUAUUCACAAUUAACAAUAAUUCAAGAAAUUAACCGAAAAGUACAUCUUUGACCAAUUGAGCAUGAACUGCGCCUCUGGUGGAUUGCGCCAUUAGGGGACCGAUGAUAGGCAUGGCAAUGUUUGGACAUCAUAGCAUUGCUUGAAGAAUGGAUGGCGUAGAGCCUCUGCAGCCGUUGGCCCUUUUACUUGGAUUCCAUGAUAGUAACGAUGUCAUCAAGUCGAUUGCUUCUUUAGAAACAUCUGGCAUUACCAUAUCAAAUUGUAUUAUUUGAAACUGUGGAAAACGAUAGUAUUUAGCACUUUUUUUCACCCAUGAUGUCUCAUCGGGAGAACCCAUGAUGUUGCAUAUCAUAUUAAGCUGGUUGUUAAGCUGUUUUUUCCGACAAUAACCACGAUCACCAGGAAACAGUGGAGAAAGAAUAAAUAACUCUGCCAUGAUUGCUCCCAUUGCCCACAUGUCAAUUGCAGAACCGUACUCAGAGUGGAGCAAUACUUCAGGUGCACGAUACCAUCGAGUAGUAAUAUACUGUGGAUAGGGUGAAUUAGAUAGGAACUCCUGUGCGCAACCUAGAUCAGCAAUCUUAAUUACGUCUCCACUAACCAAUAUAUUAUCAGGCUUAAGAUCACAAUGAAAAUUGCCAUGCUUAUGCAUAUAGUCCAACCCCUUUAAUAUCUGAAAACAGUAAUUUCGUAUUUCAAACUCUGAGAAAAAUCUCUCUCCUUCACCUUUAUCUCUAAUAAGUUUUCCAAGAUUACAAUCCAUAUACUCAAACACUAAGUAUAACACCCCAGCUUCUCCAAGAACUAAUUCUUUAAGUUCAAUAAUAUUUGGAUGAUCAAUCUCACAUAAUAACUUCACUUCUUGCAAAUUUUGAGCUUCUUCCCAUGAAUAUUCUUUACCCUUCAAAACUUUAAUCGCGACAAUUUCACCACUAUGAUUAUCAAAAGCCUUCCAUACACAACCAAAGUUUCCUUCCCCAAUUUUCGUACCAAAAGUAUACUUUGAUAAUAAAUAAUCUGGUUGGUUGUUCAUCACCAUACCACCACUCAUCAUCAUUUUGUCACAAACACACCGAAACCCUCAGCAAGUAAAACUGCAAAAGAGAUUUUUAGAAAAACAAAGGACGAGAUGAUGUGAAUAACGCUUAUAUAGAGUUAUGGUAUAUCAAGUACGAGUUACACAUGACUUGGAAGUACACCUAUACGUGAGAGAUAAACGCGUUGAGUUGCAUGCGCGGGAACAAAUUCUGAUGUGGCACGUAUUAUGCUUCCUGUUGCCUUUAUUUCAGGUUUAAUAAACUUGCCGGCUCUCCACUUUGUGAGAGGUAUGCAAGUAGAGCAGUAAAUGGAUUCCUGAUUUCCUUCCACUAUAAUUUUCUAUAGAUACCACCUAUAUUAAACAGGUUUAAUGUCAAAUUAAACUUCUAUAAACAUUCAACAGUCCUACAUAAGCCAACAACAAAGCAGUAUUUCAAUGUUUGCGAUUAAUUUAGACAGAACUAGAUUGUCGAUCCAUGUGAAGCUGUGCACGAGAAAUGAACAAAAGUAUAGAUGUUAUAUUCUAAAAGACAAAUGUAUGCUUUCAAGACUAGUGAAUCAUAUGACCCAAAAAAAAAAAAAAAAAAAACAGGGGCACCUGUCUCUUAAAAUAAAAAGGAACUUUGCAGUUUCCACAGGUUAUAUAUAGAAUGCAUUGUCUUAACAGUAGCAAUACAUUGAAACAGUGCUCAAAUAUAACAACUCUGAAAUUUCCCAUCAACACAUCUGUGGCAAAACGAAGUAGCAAAUAACAAAACAAGGACUCUUCAAAAUUAAAAUUAGAUAAUUAUUAAAUAACCAAAAUUCACAUGUACUUUCAAAAUGUGAAUAAAUUCAUAAGUUCAUCAAAGCUUGCUACAGGUGAUAUGGUUACCAAAAAUCACUGCCAUAUCAUAUCAAGACCAGAUAGAAAUAUCAAUAUUAAGUCCAGUAGCAGUAUAGCAGUCCAUUUGUAUAUGCAGUCGGGUGGUGCAGAUGAUAUCAUAACCCCAACUGUUUGUGCAACAGUGCUCAUAGAAAUGCUAUGUAAUUAUAACGGAACCACAAAAAUUGUUAUCAGAAACAUCCCAGGCACUUCAUGUUCCUCCUUGUACAAUAAGCUUAUCCUCGUGUAGGGAAUAAGUGAGAAUUGUUGUAACUUCGACAUCAAAAACUAUCGACGCAUGCAGUUUAUCCAUCAUUCUUUGUCUUCAUGUACUAUAGAGUGCUAAUAUCCACUCGGCUUUUAUGGAGCUGAAACGCCGGAGUGAUCCAGCUUCCACAGCUGCACUGGAUGCCUGACCAGUUGAAGUAACCCAAGCGGGCGUCACAAUGAGGACAGAACAACUUUCCUUCCAAUAAACCUUCUUCAACUGGGUGAAAAGUGGGAAAUAUAAGUAAUGCACAUAACAUGUCAAAGCUCUUGCAUUAUAUGGCAACAGUUGUAUUUUCAUGUUCAUAUUAUUUCGCUUUUUUCCCUUGAAUUAGCUAUAUCCAUUUAAUCAAGUACAUCUCAGGUGAUCAGCUAGGCCUUAUAGUGCAAAGUAUGAAUUUUUAUUUACUUAUUUAUUUACUUUUGAGAGGUAAGUAAGACUUUUCUAAAACGAUUGGUUUCUUUGCCUGAGAAAAUAGAAAUCAAGCUUCCCAAUUAUAACCAACUGGCUACCAACACACAAAUGUAUAGGAAAAAGAACAGUUUGAACUUUUGGUCAAACGCAAGCAUUUCUCAGUGCAUUCUAUAAAAAAUACUUGUGUAAUACAAGCGGAGACAUUUAGAAAAUAGGAAAGCUAUACCUGUCUUCAUCCACCGUAGAGGCUCCAAAAAGAUAGACGAGCAUUCAUGUUCAUCAGACCUGUUGAACGGAUUUCCACCACUACGCUUCUGCCACUUAAAACAUGUCUCCCCCUCGCCAGGUUUGUGUUCCACAACAUUGUCUUGCAAAGCCAUAACUCUCCUACACUUUUUGCAGCGAUAGGCAGGAUUGAGCUUAGUAGUUUCAUUGGGAGAUGUGGAAGACUCUGAAGAGUCAGCAACUGCAGAUAAACCAGGAUCAACCCCAAACUGGGAACUAUCUAUCCUUUCCCCUCGAUUAUAUGAAUCACCUGAAAAUCAUGGGGUGCACACAUCUUUAGCUGGAACCUCACAACAGAAAAGAUAUAACAUUGCAAGAAUUUGAAGGAAGGUGCAUCCCUUGUCUACUCUACUUUGUCAUACCAAUAAACUAUACGAUUAGAGAGCUAAUAAGUCAAACCACAGAAAGACACCCCACCCUGCUGGAGCUUCAUUGAGGACACCGGGGUGUGCCCUUUGGCCAAUGUGCUUGGACGAGAGGUCUUCUUGAGAAUGAUGGCUUCUGACACCUAGCAUUAUGUAAUUAUGUAACCCCUAUUUCUUGUAUUUGUUUUUAUUGCUUUUUGUGCAGCACACCCUACUUCUCUUACUAUAUACAUAAAAUUUACCUUCGCCGAUAUGUAAGAAGGGAAAAAAAAAGGACAAAGGUUAACAUAAUAAAAAAAUAAUUGGGAACCCAUUACUAUGAAUCAACCAGAGAAAUAAUACGAUGCAUGAAACUCAAAUUCGCAUACCACACUUUUUUCAAUCAACCUAACACAAGACUAAAGCUAUCAUUCUCAAACUUAGCAUUUCUGCAUUCAUUAGGAAAGACUCAUGUAAUCUCAAAAACAAAGCCACUGCGGUGCUGAGACUAUUAAAAUCAUAAUUUUCAAUUUAGAGGUAAGCAUUUUAAAAAGGGGGUUUCUAAGUGUUGCCGAUGAUCUAGGACCCAAGCAUAUUGUAAUCUCCCACACUACUGUUGAAAUAGAGAUAAAAGUGAGAAAACUAACCCAAUAUUUUCAAGUGAAAGCGCUUGUAUAUCGGGCUCGUAGGAUCAACUUUGAAACCCAUGCCUUCAAACAUCUUUAACUGAAAUGAAGGAAUAAAACAUGAAAGAAACAAGGGUUAAUUGAAAUGCUCAUAAAAUGUAACAUAAAUAUAUAGCAGACUUGCAGUUCUAAAUGCUCUGUAUGAAACUAUGAAUUAAUCAAAUUAUAAUGAGACUCGCCUGUUCCAAAAAUCCAUCAUUAGGGCAAACAAACUCACAACUUUGUCGUAAUGAUACAAGCGCAUCUGCAGAACAUGUUUGCAAAAACAUAAGAGUCAAUGACCAAUCAUAUAAUAAAGAUACCUUGUCGCUACAAAAGGAGCGGAAGGAAAACAUAAAUGAAGUCCACAAAAAAUAAAAAGAAAAUGUUUCAACCUUCAUGAGAGAGUUGUUCAGUUCUCAUCAGAUAUGCUGUAAUGAUAGAUGCACUGCCAUAAACCAAUACAAAGUGCUGUAAGUUCAGGUCAGGCUGAUAAUGUAGGAGAUCUAAGCCUAUAGACUAAAACACAAAACAGGAUGUAUAAAAUAAAAUUGUUUCUGUCUUCUACUUCACGACAUCUUCCUUCACAAUAUUUAUCCAAGUAUUUCAUAGCUUUUAGGAACUACACAGUAAAGUGCGAACAAUCCUCAACAUGAAAGUACAGUACGUGUGAAGGUCUGGCUUGAUAAAUUACGGAACAUAAUGUAUGAAAUUAAAAUGUUUUUGUCAUCUACUAUCACAUUAUUUUCACUAUCAGAGACAAUAAAAUUCAAUCAACACUUGGCUACUUCUACAACAAUUCUGAUUAGGAUUCCAUAGCUAUGAAUAUCAACUAUAAUCUAAAUCAAGAGACUACCAAACCGUAAUUUACCCAAAAUGAGUAAACAAUAUUUGACUGGAAGCACAAAUCAUUUCCCACAUAAAAUUCAAUUAAUCUAACACCAAAAUUUAGCAUUAACCAUUAUUUAAAAAUGAAAACUUGAAAUAGAAGAAACAAAGCAAUACCUUCUUGAAACACCUGCGAAACAAUGUACUAAAACAGAGCCUUGUUUUCUACUAUUAUCAAUAAAAUCCAAACAAACAUCCAAAUAAUCCAAUAAAUUCUCUCUUUCCAUAUCUCUUAAAGGAACACCCAUUCUUACUAACUUCAAAUCCUUUCCAGCAUAUUCCACCAAACACAUUAACUUGUUCUUCUUCUUCUUAUCACUAUCAGUUUCACUUUCUUCUUCAACAACUAGUUGUUCUUCUUCUUGUUUUGAUUCUCUAAAGUAAACUUUACGAAUUUCUUUUGUUGGAAAAACCAUUUCAGAACGCCAUUCAGAGAAAAAUGAAAUUGAUGCUGAACUUAAAACUGAUAAUAUAUGAGUUACCUCUUCACUUCCAUUUACAAGAAUCUCUGCUGCAUCUUCUAUAUUACCUAUGUAAAGGUUUUCACGAACCAAAUACGGCAUGAUUGCUAUAAAGAAAGAUUAAUUUUCUUUCUCCUAGGAUUUUGGUGGGAUUUUUUUUUUUUUUUUUCUGUAAGAAAGAUGAUGAUGAAGAAGGAAGAAGAAAACCCUUCUCUUCUCUUCUCUUCUCUUCUCUUUCUCUUUUCUUGUUUUUCUUUCUCUCUCUUUCUCUGGUUCGUCAGCUUAUUAUCUUUUUUUUUCUCUUUUGUGCUAACGGUACUUUCAUAUAUAGUAAAAAAAAAUUAGUCACGUGUGAAGCGCGUGGAUAAAGCGAUGUAGUAGUCCCACUUAUGUUAAGGUGUUGAUUUGAAAAUGGUGAAUAGUGAUUGAGAGAUUUUGAGGAAUAAUUGUUGAAGAAUUUUGGAUUACUUUGCUUUGAAGUUAUGCUUUUUCUAUUUAUUAAAAAAAUAAUAAAUUUUUUUUAUAAAUAUUAUAUUAUAAUGACCUAGAAUCGAGAUCUUGAAAUUGUUUCUAUAAACAUUUUAAUGCAUGUGAUUGUUUACAUUUAAUAAAAUAUUUAAAUUUCAAAUAUUAGUGAUCUUCAAUUCUUAUAAUAUAAAGAAAACCCCACUAAAGAAUUUCUUUUUCUCUUAUCACUAGCAAGUUAACGAUUCUGUCUCAGGACCGUUUGCAGAGGCUGACGUGGUUUAAACUUAAAAACAGAGGAUAGGUGUGAUGAUCCAACGGUCGAGAUGUAUCUUUAAUCCAACGGUUCUAAUAUGUUUUUAAUGUUAUCGUUGGACCCGACUAAACCAGGCUUUUAAAUAGGCCUGUAAAUGGGUCGGGUAGGGCUAGCCCGACCCUUGAACCCUCGAGCCCUCACACUUUAAGGGUCGGGCCAACCCUACCCUAAAAGAUGAUGAGGGACGGGUUAGGGUGGGCCAACACAAAAAUUGUAAAAACCUCACCCGACCCUUAGCCCUUUAUUUUAAAGGGUCGAGGGCCGUGCUAACGGGCCCGUUUGAUAGGGUCGAUACAUAGAAUUAUGUUUUACUUAGAAAAAAAAAUGCGAUCAUGUUUUUAUUAAUAUCAUUUUAAUAUUUUUGAAAAUACGUAUAAUAUGUUUCAUUCUUAAAUGUACAAAUAUAUUUUUUUCACCAUAAAAUUUGUUAAAGUAUAUGAUAUUAUUUUAUCCAAGAGCAUUACAAUUAAUAAAUACAAAGAACUCGUAGUUAGAUGUUAUCUUAUUACUAAAAUUUUAAACUUUAGAAAUUUAAUCUUAAAUUUAUAAAAUUCUAGCAUAAUAAGUAUAAAAUACACAUUUAAAAUAAUAAUCUAAUUACCGUUUAUUGCAUGCUCAAUAAUGAAAUAUAUGGUUAAUAAAAAAAUAUUCUAUUGAGAAUUAAUUUUUUUUAGUUAUAUAAUAGUUUUUUAACAACUAGUUCGGAAAAUAUUCGAUAAACAUUUGAUAAAUAUCAUAUAACUUAAACAAAAGUGACAUCUAUGUCUAAUUGGAAAAAUCUUUACGGUUUAAAACUCUAAAAAAAUAUCCAAAUUUUGAUAUAUAGAGAAAUAUAUUAAAAAUUAUACAUAUAUUUAUGAGGGCCGUAAGAGGGCUUUGAGAGGGUUAAUUAGGGUCGGGCUAAAUAGUGUCUUCUUCCCCAAUUUUAAUAUCUGACCUCUGAAACGCAAACAGAGACACAGUGAAAAACCAAAUUUGUCUUGGUCGCCUUCUUCCCAAUCCCAAUUUAAGGUUAGAAUGAAUUCAAAAGGUGCUUUACCUUCAAAACCAUUUUCCAUUACAGAAACAAAAUUAAGUGAAAAAGUUGAUUGAAGUUGGACACUUUACCUUCAAAUCCUAGCUACGAUCAAACUCUGAUCACAUGUCCACUAAGAAUUUGAGUUGAAUUUACCACAAAUACAACAGAUUUGGUUGAAAGACAAGAUCUUGCUAGGGUUUAUGAGAGGGAGAAGAAGGAAUUAGGCGGGAAGAAUGGGAAAGAUCGCGCCUGUGAGUUGUUAUCACGCCCAAGUGUUUGCUUUUAUAUUAUCAGAUCCCUCACCCUAGCCGUUGAUAAAAACCAUUCAGAUUAAGACACGUGCCUCAUUAUGAUUAAACCGUUUAUAUGUUUUUAAGUUUUAACUACGUCAGCGUUUUUCGAAUUAAAUAAACCACGUCAACAUCUACAAACGGUCAUGAGACAGAAUCGUUAACUUGCUAGUGAUAAGACCAAAAAGAAGUCUUUAGUGGGGUAAACACAAAUAUUAACAUAAAUUUCUGGGGUUUUUACAAAAUGGCCCCCCUAUUGUUCCUUGAGGCUCAUUUACUCAUUGAGUUGAUGAUGCAUUGAGUCCUUGAGGAUUGAGAUGAUAACAUUGGAGAUAUGGCGGCAAGCAUGGAAAAUGGCAAAGUGAACAUUGGAUGUUGUGCCAUGGUGAUGGAAUUAUGUACAGUAUCAUACCCGAAUAUUCUUUUCUUUUUAUACUCUCAAAACCUCAAAGGGUAGUUAAAGAUGCGACAACCCAAUAAUAUCUCAUACAAUAAUUGUUAACCAUAUCUAUGUACCGACGACUUGUGUAGUUGUGCUACCUGUUGAUUAUGCCAAAAGCAGUUUUAAAGAGUCUGGAAACUCAUCUUUAUGAUUGUGAGCCAAUCAGUCACUCAUCACUCUUUUAUUUCAUCAACAUUUUUACAAACUUUUAUUCUAGAUUAGAGAUUAAAAUUUAGAUAAUAGUACUAUCAUUCACAAUUCACUUAACAAAAAGCAUAAUUUGUAAUUUGUAGACAUGUAGUUAAUCACGAGAUAAAAAAAAAUUGUGAUAUUUUUUUUUUUUUAAUAGAUAAGAUGGUGAUCAUUGAAUUGAAUUGGAGAUUGGAUUCAUGUUUGAACUCUGAUCAAUGUUGUUGUUAGCAAACGAGGUUGAGAGUGCCUACCCCUUUAAAUACACAUGAAUAUGAACACUUAUAUCAAACAAUCAGUUAUUGAUGUGUUUCCAACCUAGGACCUCUCAAUUUUAUGAGAAGUAUGCAACCGUUGGGCCACAGGCUAUGUGCUUCGCAAAAUAUUUAAGUUUCACAUUCACUUGUUUUCAAAAUAUAUAAUAAAAAUUAAUAAAAAUUAAUAAAAACCUAUUGGUUUUCCCAAGAGUCAAGACCAUGAUGAGGCGAGGCACAAAACAAAAUAAAUAAAGAGAUAGAAGAAGUGAAUAUCUAUAGAAUAAUACUUUCACUCGACCCAUAUAUACUAACCUAAACCAACCCUCUUCAACGAAACCAACAUUAUUAAGGAUACCUCAUGGAAAUUUUAAAAGAAAUAAGGGUAAUUUAGUCAUUCUAUAAAUUUACACGACGAAAACGUUCGUUCGACAUCACCACCAUUCUCCCGCUUGGUUUCAUUUACAAUAGCAAAGCAACAGAGAAGUAGACAAGAUAAGAUAAGAUAUAAUUAACAAAGCAAUCUUGGCCGUCAGAUCACUCAGUCAUAACUCCUCCUACCAUAAUAACCAGGGUUAGCACUACUAUCCUUCUAUGGUGUUUUUUUUCUGAUUUUUUUUAUUAUUAUUUUGGAUUUUUUUUUUCAAAUAUUUUGGGUAAUAGUUAUGUUCUGUGACAUAUAAAUAUGAUUGAUUGGUUGAAUUUAUUGAAAUGGGGUUUGGGAUUUUUUUUUUGUUAUUAGUGUUGUGUAGAAAUUGUACAAUUGAAGAAUAAACUGUUACUGAUUACUUGCCAUAUGUGAUGUAGUCAUAUGUUGGUAUGAAUGGAGAACAUUGAUUAAACACAUAUUGAAAUGUAAUUGAUUAAACUGUCCAUAAUGAAUUAGAAUGUAUUUUAAGUUAGCUGAAUCGUUUCGUACGUUGUUUCAUUUUCGAGUUAUAUGAGUUAUUAGGCAUGAUUUGACACAAAUGAUACUUGCAUUUCAUAUGACAUAUCACAUAUUGCAAUAGUAGUCAUUUUGAAGUACAUGAUCUCUAACAUCAGGUUAUUGUGAAAGCAAAGUACUAAUCUUGUCAACCUACAGACUACAAUCAUCAACUACUCACUUUUUUCUCACUGUAGUUUGAAUUUAACAUGUUAAUCUUCAUUAGUCAUGAGUUUAUUGACACAUGUUAAUCUUCAUUAACAUGGCACAUUUAUGCAAACCUCAUUCAACAUUGCAGUUUUCCACUUACAAGAACCUGUUUGUUGUUGUCUUUGAGACUUAUAUUUUAUGGGAUCCAUAACUUUGUUGAUGGAAGUAUUUUAACAAUAAAAUCUCUAAUCUUUGCAGUUCUUUUUUGACUUUUAUAUUUCCAGGUGUGGUAUACCGUAUACCUGUUUUGAGGGAAGAGCCAAGCCUUCGACAUUGCUCACUUACUGUCAACAUCUUGCUCUUUGAAAUUGAUAACCAGUAGCAAGUCUGACCUUAGACAUAUGAGUCAAUCUUCCACCUUUUAUCCUACUUCUCUUACUUUACAAACUUCCACAUUUCCAUCAAAGAGGUCACGCCAAAGAGGUCUUACUGUUUUUGCAACCGCACUAUCUCCAAGUCAAAGCAGCUCUGUGUUUGAUCACAAAGACACUGAACCAUCAAGGCCAAAGAGAGUCAUGAUUAUAGGCGGAGAUGGAUAUUGUGGCUGGGCUACCGCUCUUCAUCUUUCCAAGCAAAAUUAUGAAGUUGCCAUUGUAGAUAAUCUUGUCCGUCGACUUUUUGAUCAUCAACUUGGUCUUGAUUCACUAACACCAAUCUCUUCAAUCCACAAUCGUGUUCGACGAUGGAAAUCUCUGACAGGCAAAACUAUUGAGCUUUAUAUUGGUGACAUAUGUGAUUUUGAAUUUCUAUCUGAGACUUUCAAAUCUUUUGAGCCUGAUUCUGUUGUUCAUUUUGGUGAACAACGCUCGGCUCCUUACUCCAUGAUUGAUCGUUCUAGAGCGGUGUUCACACAGCAUAACAAUGUGAUUGGUACACUAAAUGUUCUGUUUGCUAUCAAGGAAUAUAGAGAGGACUGCCAUUUAGUAAAGCUUGGAACAAUGGGCGAAUAUGGGACUCCCAACAUUGACAUUGAGGAAGGAUACAUUACAAUUAACCACAAUGGCAGGACAGAUACAUUGCCUUACCCAAAGCAAGGAAGCUCAUUUUACCACCUGAGUAAGGUCCAUGAUUCCAAUAAUAUAGCAUUUACUUGCAAGGCGUGGGGGAUUAGGGCUACUGAUCUGAACCAAGGAGUGGUGUACGGCGUGACGACGGAUGAGACUGAGAUGCAUGAAGAUCUCUGCAAUAGGUUUGACUAUGACGGAGUGUUUGGAACAGCAUUGAAUAGGUUUUGCGUCCAGGCCGCAGUUGGACACCCACUUACAGUGUAUGGCAAAGGGGGUCAGGUAAUGUUGCUUCCUCAAUAACAUCAUCAAGUCCAUGUUUGAAGACACACCCACCCGCACACACCUAUUUAAACAUUUAUUUCAAUUGUCUGAAUGGAGGCACAAAAAGUGUCCUAGUCUAUCUUACAUUUUUGAUAGGUUCACUUAGGAGGUAUAGGUGCCUGAUCAAAUGUUUGAACAACCUGCUUUCUGGACAUUUGAGGAGUCGUGAGGGAGGUCGAGGGAAAAGGAAACACCUGUUAGAUGGUCGUGAUAGUAUAUUUACGAUUAUCUAAAUCUAUAUCUCUUCCCUGAAUUUGUAUGUGACCUGCAUGUCACAUACGGUAAGAGGUCCCUUGAGCUACUCCUCAAAUAAUGUCCACCGUCCAGUAGUACAGAAACCCAACGGUCAGACCGUCGGAGAAACUUAUAUUUAUCCUGAGGCCUGACCCCAACUAAUCUGUGCCUUUUUAUCAUUUUAUGCCAGUUACUUGGUUGCAUUUAUGUCAUCCUUAUAGGCUUAUAUUAACAUAUAUUUACUUCGUUUUCCCUACUGCUCAGACUCGGGGAUAUCUUGACAUAAGAGACACAGUGCAAUGUGUUGAACUCGCGAUUGCAAACCCGGCACAGCCUGGCGAGUUUAGGGUCUUCAACCAGUUCACGGAGCAGUUCUCUGUUAAUGAACUUGCUUCCCUGGUCACAAAAGUUGGGAAGAAGCUCGGAUUGGACGUUAAAACUAUAUCUGUCCCCAAUCCACGUGUAGAGGCAGAGGAGCACUACUACAAUGCAAAACACACUAAGCUUGUCGAGUUGGGUCUGAAACCACACCUUCUCUCAGACUCUUUACUUGAUUCAGUGCUCAAUAAUGCCAUCAGGUUUAAGGAUCGAGUUGACACUAAACAGAUUAUGCCUAGUGUUUCUUGGAAAAAAAUUGGGGCCAAACCGAAAACAGUUUCAGCUUAUCCAAAUAACUAGGCGAGAUGCAAGGAGAUGUCAAUAGGUGAAAGUUGACAUUUGCAUGGCUAUCUGUUGGGCUGUGUCGUGUAAGCUACAAAAAGGAAAUCUCACUGAUAAUCAUUGGUUGAAGCAAUUAGGUUUGCGUAAAUGAGGAUGGGAUCUGCAUUGACUUGUUUUAUAAGUUUAUUUGCCUUGUAUAUCUGCGAAAUAUGAAUAGUACGAUAAAAUUUGUUGUUAAUUUAUAUAGAAAUCUCUAAUUUUUUUUGUAGAAGUUCUAUAUGUAAGCUGUUGAAACGGCAAAGUCCCUUUUUAUUCAAGAGGCAGGUUCCCCUGAUGCAGUUUGUUCAUGAGAUGAACAGUUAAAAGUAUAAACUGAAUUUUCUUUUUACGAUUUUGAUGAAGCAUCAGUGUGGCAGAGACUACAAUGAAAACUGACUGAACAAUGAACAUAAUACUCUUUUCACUAGUCUUGAAAGCAUGCAGCUGUCAUUUAGAAUAUAACAUCUAUACUUUCGUUCAUUUCUCGUACCUAGCUUUACAUGGAGAUCAACACUAAGAUGCAUUAAACAGGUGUAUUUUACCAUCUAGUUCUGUAUUUUUUUUACCUAAGUUGAAGGAGAUCAGGAAUCCAAAUUACUCUCUCUCUCCGCAAAUCUAUUAAACUUGAAAUAAAAGCAACAGGAAUAUCAGAAUAUGUAUAUUCAUAGUGCCACAUCAGCAUUUUUUGCGGCAAAAAGGAAAUCAACGCGUUUCAUCUCAGUGUAUUUUCAAGUUCAUGUGUAACUCGAAGUCUAGAACUUCUAUGGUUAAAAAAAAAAAACUCGAACUUCUCCAACUCUCUAUAGUCUAUAUAAACAUUACUCACGUUAUUCUUUUUAUUUUAUAAAACGUACAUAGUUUUUAGAUCAUUGUUGCUUGUUAGGGUUUUGUGACAAGAUGAUGAUGAUGAGUGAUAGUGAGAUGAAUCAAUCUUAUUUAUUUUCAAAGUAUACUUUUGGUUCUAAGAUAGGGGAAGGAAGUUUUGGUUGUGUAUGGAAGGCUUUUGAUAAUCAUAGUGAUGAAAUUGUUGCGAUUAAGGUUUUGAAAGAUAAGGUUUAUUCAUCGGAAGAGGCGCGAAAUUUACGAGAACUGAAGUUAUUAGAUGAGAUUGAACAUCCAAAUAUUGUUCAACUCAAAGAAGUUCUUGGAGAAGAUGGGGUUCUUUAUUUAGUGUUUGAAUAUAUGGAUUCAAGUCUUGGAAAAGUUAUUAGAGAUAGAGGUGUAAAAGAUAGAUUUUUCUCAGAGAUUGAAAUACGGAAUUACUGUUUUCAGAUAUUGAAAGGGUUGGACUACAUGCAUAAGAAUGGUUGGUUUCAUUGUGAUCUUAAGCCCGAUAAUAUAUUGGUUAGCGGAGACCUGAUUAAGCUUGCUGACCUAGGUUCUGCACAGGAGUUCCUAUCUAAUACACCCUAUGAAGAGUAUAUUACUACUCGAUGGUAUCGCGCACCUGAAGUAUUGCUCUACUCUGAAUACGGAUCUGCAAUUGAUAUGUGGGCAAUGGGAGCAAUUAUGGCAGAGUUGUUUCUCCUUUGUCCAUUGUUUCCUGGUGAUUGUGGGAACAACCAACUUUAUAGGAUAUGCACCAUCAUGGGUUCUCCGGAUGACGUAUCAUGGGUGGGUGAAAGUGCUAAAUACUAUCGCUUUCCACAAUUUCAAAGAACAUCAUUUGAUAUGAUAAUGACAGGCGUUUCUGAAGAUGCGAUCGACUUGAUGACAUCACUACUGUCAUGGAAUCCAAGUAAAAGGCCAACCACUGUAGAGGCUCUACGCCAUCCAUUCUUCAAGUCGUGCUAUGAAGUUCAAAAAUUGCCAUGCCAAUCAACUGGUCCCCCAAUGGCGCUUGGAUCCACCAGAGGCGCAGUUCAGGUUCAAUUGGUCGUCUGAGUGUUCAUAUUAAAGAUGCUCUUUUCUAUAAAUUUCUGAACUUGUAAAAAUGGUUAAUUGUGAAUAUCAAUAAAGAAUAUAUUUUUAAUCGUUAAUAUCAUUUUGUGUCUCUGUUAAUCAACGGAGAAAGUUGCAAAAUUUCACUUGGCUUGGUUCAUUUGCUGUAUUACAUUACACUAGACUUCUUCAAACUAAAUGGUGCAGUUACUCAAAACCUCCUUGAUCAGCCUUGGUGUUGCGCUGAUGCCAGCACUUCUUAUUACAGUAUAUAUAUACCGGUAUACCCUCUGAUUAUCCAAUUACAUCUUGCAUAUUUAAAGUGAGAUAUAGGAGGUAAUGAGGUAUGUGCAUGGGAAUGUGCUUCUUGGAAGGCAGAAGUGUACAUAGGAGCACUUGCAUAACCAUGUGUUAAUUGUGUUUACUUUCCUUUCCUAUAGAAUGAGUUUAAGAAAGUGAAUUCAAACCAAUGGAACAUUGCUAAAAUUGUCAUGUUCACUGCAUGACUUUACAAAAGGAGCAAACAGCAUCAUUGAAUAACUGGAACUGCAACAAUACAGAACGCGUUUUUUUCAUUAGUUAUAUACUAAAACAAUUACACACUCAUCCUAAACUCAGCAUACCCUCAGUAUAUGUCAUAGGAAUAUCUCCAACAUCAUAGCUCGAUCUUUGAAAUAUGCAACAAAAGGAUCAAGCAAAAGAAUUAUGAUAUGAUGAGGCGAGGCGAUGAGCUCCUUGAUAAUUUGUGAGUGGAUCAACCUCAGUCAUGGUGGAUGAUUAUGAUUCUUCGAAGGUUAUCCUUCUAAACUAAAUCAAGUCAGUGUAAAAACGUCAACAAACCCCAUGCUCUUUUUUAGCUCCUCCCUAUUUCCCAAGGUUUGAAUUAGUGAGACUGUGCUUCAAGAAGAAUGUUU
rnacentral:lncRNA from 1 species